AUACUUACCUGGAUGGGGUCUAUGGCUGAUCAAGAAGAGCCAUGGCCUAGGCUAGUGAUCCACAUUGCACUUUGUGGGUGUGCUGGCUUACCAUCUCCUCUUUAAGGAGAGUGGACGUCAUAAUUUGUGAUAGAGGGGGUACGCAUUCGCGCGGCCCCUG
rnacentral:snRNA from 1 species